UACUCAGCUUUGAGAACUGAAUUCCAUGGGUUGUGUCAUUGUCAGACCUGUGAAGUUUAGUUCUUCAGCUGGGAUAUC
ensembl:miRNA MIR146A microRNA mir-146a